UUCAUCAAGAUCGGUGGAGGGAAAGGCCCUAUGAUACCGUAGCAACCUUUAGAUGUUUAUUCUAAAAGGUGCUAAUUCCUAUAAGUGUUUGUAUAAAAUGCUUAUAAAGAUGA
rnacentral:ncRNA from 1 species